GGUACCAUUGGAUUGCCCAAAGGAGAACAGUUUAAUAAAAAAAAUUCUGAAAACAAAAACUAACUUCAUGGUCUGUCUAUGAUGCAGUUCCGCUGCUGCGGUGUGACCAACCACACCGACUGGUUUGAAGUUUACAACGCCUCCCGUGUGCCGGACUCCUGCUGCCUGGAGUACAGCGACAACUGUGGCCUAGACAACCCAGGAACAUGGUGGACAGCGCCGUGCUACGAACGAGUGAAGGACUGGCUUAAUGAGAACCUGGUGGCCCUGUGGAUCUUUGCUCUGUGCACAGCACUUACUCAGGUUCAAACACUGAUGACAUCUAUUAAACAAGACAAAAGGCAAGGAAUCAAACAGAGGCAGAAUUCAAUUUGGACUCAGAUCUGAGGAGAGACAUGGCCACUGUACUCUCUGUACAGUCCUGCACCACGCUCUGACGAAGAAGAUUCUGGGCCUGGUCUUCUCCAUGACGAUGUUCUGUCAGGCUGUCAAAGUCGAAACCUUCUACGCCUAACCCUUCACUCCUCCUGACGCAUACCAGUACUCACAUCCAACAAGCACAGUGUUACACCUUUCCUAUCGUUUGCUGUGUCCAGUACUAAUUUCUGUGAUGCAUUUUACCCAGCAGUAUAACAAACAUGUGUUAAACAAUGUAAUCCUUUUUUAAUGUGUUGCUUUUAAAUUAUUUCAUGUUUUUACGUGUUUUCAAGCCGGGGUGCGG